rnacentral:rRNA from 1 species
GCAAGUCGCACGGGCAGGGGCAACUCUGUCAGUGGCGGACGGGUGAGUAACGCGUAGGUAUCUAUCCUGAGGUGGGGGACAACCGUGGGAAACUACGGCUAAUACCGCAUGAUGCCUGAGGGCCAAAGGCGCAAGUCGCCUUGGGAGGAGCCUGCGUCCGGUUAGCUUGUUGGUGGGGUAACGGCCUACCAAGGCUCCGAUCGGUAGCUGGUCUGAGAGGAUGAUCAGCCACACUGGGACUGAGACACGGCCCAGACUCCUACGGGAGGCAGCAGUAGGGAAUAUUGGACAAUGGGCGAAAGCCUGAUCCAGCAAUGCCGCGUGGGUGAAGAAGGUCUUCGGAUUGUAAAGCCCUUUCGGCGGGGACGAUGAUGACGGUACCCGCAGAAGAAGCCCCGGCUAACUUCGUGCCAGCAGCCGCGGUAAUACGAAGGGGGCUAGCGUUGCUCGGAUUGACUGGGCGUAAAGGGCGCGUACGCGGCUUGUACAGUCAGACGUGAAAUUCC